UGGGGGGUAAUUCGGGGGCAGUUCCCGGCCCGCCUGGCGGCCGCGGGAAUUCGAUUAGAGUUUGAUUAUGGCUCGGCCCUUAAGAUGGCGGCGUGCUUAACACAUGCAAGUCGAACGACCCUUUUAUACGGAAUCCCUCGGGAGGAAGUGUGAAUGACUGAGUGGCGGACGGGUGAGUAACGCGUGGGCAACCUGCCCCGUACCGGGGGAUAACAGCCGGAAACGGCUGCUAAUACCGCAUAUGCUCUGCGGGCCGCAUGGCCCGCAAAGCAAAACUCCGGUGGUACGGGAUGGGCCCGCGUCUGAUUAGCUGGUUGGCGGGGUAACGGCCCACCAAGGCGACGAUCAGUAGCCGGCCUGAGAGGGCGGCCGGCCACAUUGGGACUGAGACACGGCCCAGACUCCUGCGGGAGGCAGCAGUGGGGAAUAUUGCACAAUGGGGGAAACCCUGAUGCAGCGACGCCGCGUGGGCGAGGAAGUACCUCGGUAUGUAAAGCCCUAUCAGCAGGGAAGAAACAGGACAGUACCUGACUAAGAAGCCCCGGCUAACUACGUGCCAGCAGCCGCGGUAAUACGUAGGGGGCAAGCGUUAUCCGGAUUCACUGGGCGUAAAGGGAGCGCAGGCGGCCUGGCAAGUCUGAUGUGAAAACCCGGGGCCCAACCCCGGGAGUGCAUUGGAAACUGCCAGGUUGGAGUGUCGGAGGGGUAAAGCGGAAUUCCUAGUGUAACGGUGAAAUGCGUAUAUAUUAA
rnacentral:rRNA from 1 species